CGCUAAGCGGAAAGUGUCGCCGCUGAGUUUUUAAGACCCAAGUCAGGGAUCGAGUGAGUGCACUUUGGGAAGCAACUCGCGGCAUGUGAUGUGCGCAAUGCCGAGAUCUGGCCAUGUGCCCUGCCCUUUCCUGCACUGGCAAGAAAGCUUCCCCCAAGAAAGCGCGCUUUUGUAAGAUGGCUUCCCCACACCUACUCAACCUUAUGCACGACAAUGUGCGGAAGCCAUAUUGUGUGGAUGUGCUUUCUUGUGCAGAAGCAUUUUUUUUUUCUUUCCUUGAUGGUGCCCCAUGAACACUUCCACCAGUGCCAUUGAGUGGGGUUGCCGUGAUUUGUGAUUUCUGUGGAAGUUUGCCUUAACCAAACUGCACACAAUGCAGUUCGUCUUAAGAGGAUCUUUUUUCCAUUGAGGCCUAUAGGAAACCAACCAAAUGUCUCACAGUGUUCGUGGUAACAGGAGUCUACUGUAUAACGUGGCACAUUUAUAUGCACAUGCAUGAAGAAAAGUAAGAAAUCGGAGGAACAUGUUGAAGGCGUGCGCCGUUAUAUGCCCAGGAAGUUGGCAUGGAAAAGCACUAAGAGUGCAAAAAACUGCUUGCUCCUCUUGCUAGCGUUUGAAUAACAGUGCUGCAAUCAAUGCAGCAAACUGUGUUGUUGAUAUUUAUAUCAACGACCUUACAAAUAUCUGUACUAAACCAAAAUAUGUCCUAUAUGCGGAUGGCGCCAGUACUUUUAAAACAGCCCUAUAUUGUAAUCAACUGGUAAAUGUGGCAAACUCGCUCCCUAUAAACCCGAAAACAUGGUCAAUAGCAAACCAGCUGAAAAUAAAUGUUAAUAAAACAAAAGCUGUUAUAUUCAGGCCAAAAUCAAAGCAGUUCGACGUUCCCGUAAAUUUAACGUAUGGGGGCGAAGCACUGGAAACAACUGAUCAAAAUAAACUUUUUGGAGUAAGUUUUUCUAAUAUGCUAUGGGAUAACCACACUGACACUGGCAAAGUUAACUCAUUUAGUUGGAGUUUUAUCCCACCUUAGGUCAUAUCUACCAUUAAAUGUCAAACUUCUCUAUUAUUUGCUUUUUUUUACUCGCAUCUAAAUUACUAUUUAUUGGUUUGGGGCACCACUACUCAAUCUAAUUUACAAAACCUUUUUGUCCGCCUGAAAAAGCUUGUCAGACUGCUUUAUGAAUCGCAUAUAACAGCCAUACGCACAUCUUUUUUUUUCAAGGAACAAACAAUUUACCAAAAAAAUCUCUAAGCUAACACUAGCCUUCAAGCGUGAAGUACUUGAAAAUAGGAUGUUUUUACACAAAUUAUCACUAAAAGAGAACAUUUACGUAUAGAGUACUCGUCACUAAGAAAAAUGGGAUGCUAUAACCCCUUGGACUAACUACUCCAGAGAAAAACUGUCCUUCAUCCUGCCCACUCUCCUGAAUAAUUACAAAAGUACCACUGACACUUUAAAAAUAACUAAAGCUGAAAUACGGCAACACUAUACGAGGUAUCUAAACCUUCUCAUUGAUUGAGAUUUGUUGACUCCUUGUAUCCAUUUCGGUGCCUAUGUAUUUUUUCGAAAUCGGUUUUGUUCCUGCAACCUUUUUUUACUGCCGUCUUGUAGAGGGGGCUGCGGGCCCCUGUCAAGCUGCCGUUUGCUCAGGCAGCUUUUACCUGCAGCCGCCUCCAUCUUUUUUGAUUGGAAAUAAACUUAUUAUAAAUGUCAGUGCAGCUUCCCAAUUGCAUGCUUCUCUUGCUUAAUGAUACAGCUGGAUUGUUUGUUUUGAGUCUUAUGUGAUUGACCAUGAAAAUGCACACAUUCCUUCAUGUUUAUUUUGGAUGGUUUCUUACUGCACAUACUUAAAAAGCGCUGGCAAAUAGUGCGUAAAAUACACAUACUGCAGCCGCUGAAUCAAGCUGUCAAUAAAUGAUACGCAUUUUUUCACAUGGAUAA
rnacentral:lncRNA from 1 species